ACGACGACGGGAGGCAUUGAGGACGCGGCUUCAGCCCGGUUACCGCGACCGCGUUCCAGCCAGUGGUGAGACCGCCCCGUCGCUGG
rnacentral:ncRNA from 1 species